rnacentral:piRNA from 1 species
UGCCAUGAGUACAGAAGAGGCCAGAUU